AUUUCCUGUUCUGCAAUAAGUUUUGCACAGUUUUUAAAGUAUCUAGUGUAUAUAAGGACAAGCCAUUCUCAGUCAAGCAUGAAACUGAAUCUGAGGAAAAGAAGAAAGCUGAAAACACACUGAGGAUUAUGGGAGAGGGGCAAGUGCAUGAAGCUUCUCAAUGACAUACAGACACUCUAAAAGCUCAAGAGAUCAAUUAUUCAACUUCAAGAACUGAAAUUUGAACACAGAUUUUGAGCUUCCAAAUCAGGAGAAAAAGAAGUGUUCUAUAAGAAGUUUGGACAAGACUCUGCAAGAAGUUAAGAGGUCCUUAAAGGCAACUGUGAAUUAACGGAGACUAGUUUUGAGAAAAUCAGUCCUGAUUUGUUUCUCCUGGAGUUUUCUUCUUUAUGUGAUCCUUCAUAAAAGCUGCUAAUAUGGGAAAGAUUGAAAUCAGCAAGUUUCUGGCUGUAAGCUAAAAGAGGCUCUUGAAUCAUAUUUCCGCCUGCUUAGCAAAUUUCUCUUGCGACAAUUGGAUGUUAUUUGGGGUUCCAUACUAGCAGGAAGAAGUACAAGCAAAGCUAAGUCAUUUUGAGAAUAAAUAUUAUCUCUCUAUAUAUUUGUAAAUGUUAUUUUCUUUUUUUUUGAGGUUUAUGAUUGAUCCUUGGCAUGUGUCCCCUUGUGUAUUGCUCUACUAAAAAUAGCCUAAAAAAGAAUUUUCCCCUCGAUGUGGAGCUUCUCUUUAGUUACAAUUCUACUUUCUCCUUCACUUGAGUAUCAGUCUUCAGAGAACUACCAUAACAAAGGAGUGGAUACAGAUAUACGCAAAAAAGUCUAUGAGAAAAUUAGUACAUUAAAUUUGUGAAAGCUCAUUUAAAGUAAUUUUCUACUAACAAUUUUAAUCAAAUGUAUUAAUCAUAUUUCUAUGCUUAGUGAUGUUAAAUAAAAAUUUAAAAGGUGGCAAUCAAUAAACAGAGAUAAAAGCUUCUCAAGAAUAAAUGAAAGGAAGUAAUAAAAAGACUCACUAAGCUGAAUUGCCUCCUAUCAACAGCAGCUGAUAAAAUAUUAAAAGAUUUGCCUUGUGUAAUGUCUCUGGAGAGCUGUCUUACUGAUGUACGAGGCCAUGAUUGACAACUUUGAGACUUUGCUGGAAGCGACAAAAGUAUAUCUAUAAUAUUAUGCUGAAUUGCAUAGGUCUUUCUUCUUAAAUGAGGCUAGAAAUAACAUACCACCAAGUGUUUGGCUUUUAGGAAAUUGAGCAUUUUCUUUAGUUCUAGCUGCAGUUUAAUUUCCUCAGAAUUAGACAUUAUGCGGUAUCUGGAACGUUAAAAAAAAAAAAAAGCAAAAACAGAGUAUUGUACCUAAUGAUAUGUCAAAUAAUUUUGGAGGAAUUAAGAAAUCACUGGAAGAAAUUACAUGGGUGGGUAAUGGUUUUUAUGUCACAAUAAAUAAUUAGUAAUAUUUACUGACACAUUUCAUGUGCCUGGUACUGAGCUAAAUGAUUUAUGUGCAUUGUUUGUAUUAAGCCCCCAAAAUUCUGUGGUAUAUGUAAUGAUAUUUCCAUUUUUCUUGAGAUAAGGAACUGAAACUCAGAAAAGUUAAGGAACUUGUCCAAGAUUAUAGUAAGUGGCUUAGUUCAAUUUUGAAUCUAGAUCAAUCUGACUCCAACCAGCAUGAUGAACUGAAACUGACUAUGAGGCUGGUGACACUCUAGGCAUUUAUUCACAAGAGGUAUUGUGAUGACAUGUGAGAGAAUGUUGGAUGAAGGAAGCACAUACUAGAAAGAUAGGAAAGACCAGAAAACACAGGGAAGUGCUAUUUAUUUGCUUUCCUAGUUCCAGUAACUUGGUCUAAUGGGGAGGAUGAAAGUAGACAGAUACCUGAAAACACUUUGAGAUUUAUGUAUAAGCAGCAUGACUUCAGUGACCAAGCCACACAGAAUCUGGGAGUGGAACAUUUUCUUUGGUCAUUAUGCCACUGCGGCAUGGUUUGUUAGUGCAGUGAGAACUAAAGUAUAGUGUGGUAACCUGAAACUGUUAUGGUUAUGGGUACACCUGGGUGGGUAGCUGUUCACCCCUUCACAGAGGGUAGGAGUGGUGAUAGCAAAGUAGCUCUUCGCAGUAACUUUCAGAACAUAGACAUUAUGUAAGAUCUGAAGUUUGAAAACCUGAAACAAAAGCAGAGCAUUAUAUCCAAGCACAUUGGAGACAACUGUGGAGGAAUCAAGGAACAUCUAGCAGAGAUUUAAUGUUUUAGGGACUGUUUUUUAUUUCAGAAGGUAAUAAGUGUAAAACAGUCAAACUCUAGGCAUAGGGAUGAACAUUAUUUUGUGUCAUAAAUUUGUCUAAUAUAGUUGCUGCUUCAGCAUCCAGUUUUGGCUUGUCAUGGUCAAGGUGACCAGUCAUGCCCUGUCACCUUUGGUUUUAUUAAAAUUUUCCCUCCUUUAGUGGUUAUUUGUGAUAUAGCCCUGUUGUUCCCCAUCUCACUGACCCCAAAUUCAACACAUGCCACAGCUGCUGGCCACAGUGAAAACUAAUGAUCAACACCAGUCAUGUGAAUAAGACGUCCCUUCAUGUGUUUUCUUUAAGCUAGCCUAUCCACAGCCCCAUGGGAAAGCCUAAAGAAUAGUACCUGUGGAUUAUAAUAAAGACGUCUUACUGGUUCUUGCUCUCUAUCCCUCUCUCUACACACUGGUCAAGUACACUCUUGUCUCCAGACUUCCCAUUGGCCUCCUGUCAACACCUGUACCCACUCUGGACCUGGGAAUAAUAAACUUCUUUUUUUUUUUAAUGUAUUUUGGUUUCACUUCCUCAUUGUAUCUCACCUGACACACACAUACUAUAGUGUUCUCAAUAUUAUUUAAUGUGUUUAACAAAUCAUAACAGAUAAUAUAUGAUUGACACUGUGCCUCCUGAUUUGAUGCAAUAUGGACUAUUCCACAUCACUGAUGAAGUAGUCAUACAAAAAAUAUUUAUCUUGAAUCAAAGCAAGAUUUUAUACCAAAAUUCUAGUUCAAGUUACCUGAUAGAGGAACAUAUUAAACAAUACUAUGUGUAAACAAUACUAUGUGUAAACAAUCAGAAAAAUAAUAGAUUGUAGCCUUCAAAAAACGAUGGCCUUACAAAACAAAUAAACAAAAAGUUUGUGUGGGUGUGUACAUGCAAGGGCUAAUCUCAAAUGCAGAAAGACCAGAAUACAAUAACAAAUAUAAUUCUUGAAAGUGGAUUUCAUCUUGGUUUACCAAAAAUAGCUAUGAGGGAAAUUUGGGUAAGAAUUAGAGAAUUCUGAAUAUAGAAUGAAUUAAAACAUAUUAUGAAUUAAGUUAAUAUUUUUGAUGUUUUCUUUUGAUAUGUUCUUUUAGAAUAUGUAAUAUCCCUAUUUAUUGGAGAUGUGUGCUAAAUUAUUUACAAAUAUUUGGGUAUCUGAAAUUUACUUUCAAAUGCACCAAAAAUAAUAGCUAUACAAAAAGAAAUACAUUAAAUUUACUCUAUAGUAGUAGUUAUUCUUUCUGAGAGGUUUACACAGUAUUUUCCUGUUCUUUUGUAUGUAUGUAUUUUUAAAAGAACGUAGGCCUGGCGCAGUGGCUCACGCCUAUAAUCCCAGCACUUUGGGAGGCCGAGGUGGGCGGAUCACGUGGUCAGGAGAUCGAGACCAUCCUGGCUAACACGGUAAAACCCCGUCUCUACUAAAAACACAAAAACAAAAUUAGCCAGGCGUGGUGGCGGGCGCCUGUAGUCCCAGCUAAUCAGGAGGCUGAGGCAGGAGAAUGGCGUGAACCCGGGAGGCGAAGCUUGCAGUGAGCCGAGAUCAUGCCACUGCACUCCAGCCUGGGCGACAGAGCGAGACUCCGUCUCAAAAAAAACAAAAACGAAAACAAAAACAACAUAAAUAAAUUGAUAAUAUAUCUAUUUUGAUACAGUCAUGGUUAACAUAAAUAAUCCUGGUUAUAUCCAUAUAAAACCAUGAAUAUACAGUAAUAAAUAUUAUAAUUACAAGUAAAUCACCAUAAAUAAAUUCUGUUUUCAAUGUUUCUACU
rnacentral:lncRNA from 10 species